GGUCUAGUGGUGUAGUUGGUUAUCACGUCAGUCUAACAGUCCGAGAUCUCCUCAUCGAGUUCUCCCCCUGUUCCACUGAAGGUCUCCGGUUCAAGUCCGGGCUAGAUCA